AUAAAUGCUAUACAGUGAAACUGCGAAUGGCUCAUUAAAACAGUUAUAGUUUAUUUGGUAAUCGAAUUUACAUGGAUAACCGUGGUAAUUCUAGAGCUAAUACAUGCUGUGUUGCCCAACUUUUUGGAAGGGCCGUAUUUAUUAGAUAUCAAACCAAUAAGACUUGUUCUAUUGUGGUGAAUCAUAGUAACUGAUCGGAUCGCAGGCAAGCCCUGCGACAAACCAUUCAAGUUUCUGCCCCAUCAGCUUACGAUGGUAGUGUAUUGGACUACCAUGGCUUUUACGGGUAACGGAGGAUUAGGGUUCGAUUCCGGAGAGGGAGCCUGAGAAACGGCUACCACAUCUAAGGAAGGCAGCAGGCGCGUAAAUUACCCAAUCCUGACUCAGGGAGGUAGUGACAAGAAAUAGCGGGUCGGAGUUUAACUCCGGGACUGAAAUGAGACGAAUUUACACCCCUUAUCGAGGACCGAUUGGAGGGCAAGUCUGGUGCCAGCAGCCGCGGUAAUUCCAGCUCCAAUAGCGUAUAUUAAAGUUGUUGCAGUUAAAAAGCUCGUAGUUGGAUUUCUGGCAUGGGGCGAGGGCCCGCAUGUGCGAGGCCCAAGUGCCAUGCCAUCCUUCUGUUAACCUUUCUUGGCAUUGAUUUGCUAGUUAGGGGCUCAGAUAUUUUACCUUGAGAAAAUUAGAGUGUUUCAGGCAGGCUCGCGCCGGGAUACAUUAGCAUGGAAUAAUGGAACAGGACUUUAGCCUCUUCUGUUGGUCUGAGGGGUCGAAGUAAUGAUUAAUAGGGAUAGUUGGGGGCAUUAGUACUAAACUGUCAG
rnacentral:rRNA from 1 species